AAACUAGCCGGUGGACAAGCCGGAGGAAGGCGGGGAGUGACGUCAAGUCCUCACGGCCCUUACGGCCUGGGCUACACACGUACUACAAUGGUGGUGACAGUGGGAUGCCAAAGCGCAAGCUGGAGCGAACCCCCAAAAGCCACCUCAGUUCAGAUUGCACUCUGCAACUCGAGUGCAUGAAGUUGGAAUCGCUAGUAAUCGCAGAUCAGCACGCUGCGGUGAAUACGUUCCCGGGCCUU
rnacentral:rRNA from 1 species